CAAACAAUACGGAAUUUUGUCUACUAGCAUAACACUUGAGAACAAGAGCUGGGCUAAGCAUAGGAAGCAAUCACUAGUUAAUUCAUAUUUAAAUAAAUUUUUUGAAGUAUGUUUGAACAAUGAGCCAAAAUUUGAGAAAUAUUAGCCACUUUUCUUCAUGAAUAUGGGCAGAGGUCUUCCUUUUUCCAAUGGUUCACCCCCCCAGUGGCCGCUGCAGCCGGCACACCACACCAAUCCGAAGCCAGGAGCCAGGAGCUUCCUCCUGGUCUCCCAUGCUGGUGCAGUGCCCAAGGACCUGGGCCAUCCUCCACUGCACUCCCGGGCUACAGCAGAGAGCUGGACUGGAAGAGGAGCAACCGGGACAGAAUCCGGCUGGUUUUCUGCUGCUUUCUUGUUCUCAAUGUGGCAAAUAAAUUGAUUCUACAGAUCAUCUUAAUUUCAGGCAGAUCAUUUAUACAACAGUGAAGACAUUAACCUACUUUACUGGCUGGUUGUGAAGAACAGCUGAUAUUCUUGACUGACAAACACUCACUGAUAAAAAUUGCUAAGGAAAUCCUUGAUAAUUUACAGAUUGUAGACCCAACCCUACACUCAGUGUUGUCCUGUACUGAAUGAUUAAAUUGGGUUCAGUCUAAAUUUCAAAUAUAUAUACACACAUACAUAUUAUAUAGUUUGCAUAUAUAUAUAUUUAUAUAUACCUUUGAAAUCACUAGAAAUUUGACUUGAUACAUGAUUCUUAAAUUGUGAAUAAGUAAUCUGGGACUAAUAAAUGCAGGCUUUGUAGAUAGGUCAUUACCAAAAACAGUUUUGCAUCUUUACUGGGGAAAGAGUUACCCCAGUCACUAGAUUCAGACAAUUCUUUGUAUUUGUUCUGUAGAAACUCUUACUUUGUCUUCUAAGGUAAGCACACAACUACUCUCCCACCUCUGUUUAAAAAUCACAGAAAUGAUAUUUUUAAAACCUAUAUACUGUUAUGCUCUCUGUGUCAUGUGGCAUAACAUGUAUAGUCAGCUUAUGUAGACAUAGGAGAUAAAAUACAUGCUGAGGUCUGAUCUGAGAGUGUAGUUUACUUUUACAAUCUACACACCAAAGAGGAAUGGGCAGAGUUUAUUCUUUCAUCAUUUUCAGUCUCCAUAUGCUGCCUGAAUGUGACUCCCCACCUUCCCAACUUGGACAUUUGUUGAAAGGCACAGAAAGGAUAUAUAGACGUGACAGAAUAUAGCUAUUUGAAAUUUGAAAUUUGCUCUUAUUUUAAAAUUUGUAGUCUAAUGGCAAGCAAUAGUGUAGGAAACUAUUGAUAUGGAGUAUGUUGGAGGCAGAAAUUAUAGUUUUCACACUUUUCAUCCUAAUAUUAGAGAAAGUUUUGAGAAAGGACCACCUUAAAGAAUCACAACCAUAGACUAACUGGCUGCUCUGAGAGGGGUGCGCUGAUUCACCUCUGUUAUUUAUUAAACUUAGCUGCCUUGUAAACUUGAAUGUGAGUCCUACUUCUUUGGGCAAAAUAUGAGGUAUUCUGUGGAGUGAAUGUACACAAAACCUUUGACAUUUUAUUUACCUCAUCAAUAAGACUAUAACUCUUAAAAUCUCAUUUUGGUAAUUGUAUGGGUUAAAAAAAGUUAGGGUUGAGCAUUUUUCCUGUGGCUGAGAUACCACUUCCCGUACUGGAAUGCCUCAUUUCAAUGCUUAGCUCUAAUUGCUUAAUCCAGCUUCCUGUUAAUGCCCAUCCUGAGAUGUAUUGGUGAUGACUCAAGAAUUGGUUUCCCACAACUCAUAUGGGAGACCAGGAUUGAGUUCCUGGCUCCUCGCUUCAGGCUUGCCCAGUCCUUGCUAUUUGAGAGUACUUUGGAGGUGAACCAAUGGAUAGGAGCACUCUCCAUUUCUGUCCAUCUGUUUUUCUAUGACUGUCUUUCUUAAGUAAAUUUUAAAAAGGGAAAACAAAAAGAUUCCAUAGAAGAGGAAAAAAUAAUUUAAAGAAAAACAACGAUGACAUUUUGUUCAAGGAAACUACUUGAUAAUAUUUGAGACCUGUUUUGUUAACCCUAAAUAAUACUGAUAUAUCAAAAUAUAUUCAUGACGAUUAUUUAUCUUCAGUUUUAUAAAACCUCAUCUUUAUUCAAGGAAAGUAAACCAUAGAAUUUAUUCUCAGGCUUACUUGCCAGCUAUAUUCCAUAUUGAUUCUGUUAACAAGAAUCAUUUGGCAUUUGCAUAAGAUGAAGAGUGGAAGGAAAAAGAGAAGCUAUUUGUCCCUGAUUUUUACGUGGUUCCUAGGUAGAUUAACUAAUAUUAUCACAAAACAGACAGCAUCACCUUGGAUGUGAGAAAUGGGAGUGAGUGGAACCCUUAUUCUGGAUAUCAAUAUCACAUGAACAAUGCUCAACUUCUUAUCAGAUGAGUACAUGUCUUUGCUGAAAAAUCCUUGAAAAUUCAAAUGAAUGUAGUGGAGGAAGUACACUCUGGGGUUGCUUAGAGUAGUCAGAAUUUUCUAAUAGCUCCAGGGAAUUUGACAUUCCUAUUUGAGCUGUUUUCCCCCAAAGUAUUUGUUCUUUCGAUUUCUUCAAUACUCAUCUGAAGCUUCAAGUUUCUAAUCUGAGGUUUCUCCUCAGAUACAAACAAAAUCAAAAUAAUUAAAAACCCCAGGACAAUGGUAUAUGCAAAGCAGUGCUUCAAUAAGUAGUUAAUUGUUUCUCAUUAGUACAAAGUUUAAGGUUAUACGUUAAAAGCUGAUCUUUUUGUUUUUCCUUGUGUACAAGUUACAACUGUCUGGAUUUCUCUGACAUGAUAGCUACUAAAAGAUUUAUUUUUACUGGGAAUAAAUUAUAAUUUUUCAGCUAAGUGCACUGUCCUUUUAUUAGUUAAGAAACAGUUAAUAUUCAUAUGAACAAGUUCUGUGUGUUAAUUCAGGUACAUGUCUGCUUUUCUUGACAUUCUACGUUUGAACAUAUUGCUAAUAGUGGGAACAAAUGCUGAUUAUGAAAGAUAAGACAUCUACCCUCUAAGUAUAUUAUUUAGCUGAGAAAGAUUUUGUUUUAUAUAAGGGGUACACUAUAAUAAUAACUACCUUCUUGAUGACCAAAGGGCCCUCAGGACAAUAUAUGUUUCAAUUGCUUCACUGUAUCCACAAGAAGACUAGAAGAAGGAACCAUUACAAAUUUGAUCUGUUUUUUGUUCAUGAAAAAUUUCUAUUUUCAAAAAAGAAUCAUUCUUUGUGUUUAUAAGAAAAUAUAUUCAGAAUAUGUGGUCUUUUAUUUAGCAUCUGUGGGUUUUAGGUUUUCAAGAUUUUUUUUUUUUUUGACAGGUAGAUUGGACAGUGAGAGAGAGAGAGAGACAGAGAGAAAGGUCUUCCUUUUGCCUUUGGUUGACCCUCCAAUGGCCGCCACGGCUGGCACGCUGCGGCCGGCGCACCGCACUGAUCUGAUGGCAGGAGCCAGGUGCUUCUCCUGGUCUCCCAUGGGGUGCAGGGCCCAAGGUCUUGGGCCAUCCUCUACUGCACUCCCAGGCCAUAGCAGAGAGCUGGCCUGGAAGAGGGGCAACUGGGACAGAAUCCGGUGCCCCAACCGGGACUAGAACCCGGUGUGCCGGCGCCACAAGGUGGAGGAUUAGCCUGUUGAGCCACUGCGCCGGCCUGGUUUUCAAGAAUAAUUGGUUCUGAAAAAUGGAAGGAUAAAGCUGCUCUGAUUAGGACUGUGAUGGUUUGGUUCUGGUAGUCAGGGAAAAGUUAAAAAAAAAAAUACAAAUAACAACACAGUAAAUAAGAGGGAAGAGAAAAUUCCCAUGGCAGCAAAUGGUCAACAGGUUGUACAAUAAUGAAUUCCUUGAGAUCAGGGGUUAUUCUCUCUGUAUUCAGCUCCUGACCAAAUGCUGAUAAUUUACUAGGACCUAAGUAAAUGUUUGUUGAAUUGAGUCAAUUGAAUUUGCCCUAUUAAGUCGGUAGUAUUUCCUGUUUACAUAUGAUUAUGUCCAGACUUAAAACAAAUUAACUAGCAGAGGUAGAACUGGGAGAACUUUGGAUUUGAGUAUGAUAUCCUUCUCUUCUCCCCUCUCUUUUCCCCUCCCCUCCUCACCCUUCCUCUCCUCUCUUCUUCUCUUCUCUCCAUCUCCUUGCCUCUCAAAUAAGUAAAUUUUGAAAAAUGAGCUAUAGAUUAGAUUAGAGCUGAUAAAUUACUCAUCAAAGGGCAGAUUUGAGAAGCCUUUCUGGAAAUGCAGGCAGGCCUGUUUUGAUUGGGGACUUGGUAAACGGGAAUAAGCUACUUAGGUAUGACAAGGGGGAAUCAUGAGGACAUUUCAAAAAGAAAUUCCACCAGAUUUACACAUCACUGAAAUUACUGAAACAGCAAAUUCAUUGAGUAUACAAUUACUAUAACCAACUUCAUUUCUAUUUAUGUUAUUAAAAAAUUAUUAGUUAGAAUAGCAACAACAAUGAGGUGUCAAAGUGCUACAAACUAUAUCUGAAUACUAUUGAAAGCUUAUGAACGUUAUUGAAGAAAAAGUCUACUUUAAAUAGCAACAACAGUGAUAAACACUUCUGAGUAUGUGUAACGAAGUUAUGAAAAUCCCCAUAAAAAUGAUAAAAAUUUUAUUGAAACUUGCUAAAUAUAAUUAAGUGGAAAAGUGAUAAUAUUCAAUAAAAGAUGAAAUUAAAUCCAGUGACAAACUAUGCUUAUAAAGCGUCAUAAUAUUAUGAAAUUUUCUGCAAACCUUAGAUUGAGUCUGUGUAAUCACAAUCAGAAUGCCAACAGUUUUUAACUUAAAAAUCUUUUUUUAUAGAGAUUUAUUUUAUUUAUUUGAAAAACAGAGUUAUAGAGAGAGGUAGAGACAAAGAGAAAGUGAGGUCUUCCAUCUGCUGGUUCAUUCCCCAGAUGACCGCAACGGCCAGAGCUGCGCCGAUCCGAAGCCAGGAGCCAGGAGUUUCUUCUGGGUCUCCCACGUGGGUGCAGGGGCCCAGGGACUUGGACCAUCUACUACUGCUAUCCCAGGCCAUGGCAGAGAACUGGAUUGGAAGUGGAGCAGCCUGGACUCGAACCAGCGCCCUUAUGGGAUGCUGGCGCUUCAGGCCAGGGCUUUAACCCGUUGCACCACAGCGCUGGCCCCUUAACUAAAAAUCUUAUUCUAAUAUUUAAAUAAGUUCAUAAUCAGUAAGUAGAGGCAAUUUUUCUAUUUAGUAUAAAAUUAUUAUUAAGUUAAUAACAACUGAGACAGUGUAUUCUUGGUUAAAUGGGAGGAAAAGUGAAUAAUGGGACAAAAAAAAAAACCCUGUUCAUAUUUCAGCACAUUCAGAAACGUGGUACAUGAGUGAGGUGAUAUUGUCGAGCAGUGUGAAUGUACAGAGGCUCAAAAAUAGCAAUUCAUUUUAAGGAAUGAAUUUAAUGAGCUCUCUAUACACAGAAAUGAUUAUUCUAAGUGAAAGACAAAUAUGAAAAGCAAAAUUUUAGCAUAAAAUUAACAUAGAUUAGGGAGAAAUUCCUUAAAGAAGCAAAUGCCCAUAAAGGUAGCAAUUAUAAAUUUAGUUACAUUCAAAAUAAAACUUCUGUCCAACAAUGAAAUGAUACGAAGAAUGCAUUAAAUCUUUUAUUUUAAAAAUGCUUUAUAGUAUUUUAUUAUUUAUUUAUUUAUUUGAAAGAGUUACAGAGAGAGAAGGGAAGAUAUAUAUAGAGAGAUCUUCUAUCUGCUGGUUCAGUCCCCAAAGGGCCACAAUGGCCAGGACUGGGCCAACCUGAAGCCAGGAUCCAAGAACACUAUCCAAAUCUCCCACAUAAGUGCAGAGACCCAAGUACUGAAUCAUCUUCCUCUGCUUUCCCAGGCAUCUUGGUAGGGAGGUCAGUAAGAAACGGAGCAGCAGGAACUCAAACCAGAGCCAACAUGAGAUCCAAGCAUUGCCGGCAGUGGCUUACCCUGCUGCGCCAACAUGCCAGUAUUCUAUAAAAUGCUUUAAAACUUAAUAAGAAAGUUCCAAAACUUUAAAAAAUAGAAGAGUGAAAGACAUGAUCAAUUUUUUCAUGUAAAUCACAAAUGAUUCAUAAACAAAUAAAAUUUAUUUCUCAAUAUAAAGAGUCAUCCAAAGGGGUGGCACUGAGGCGUAACAGAUAAAGCUACUGCCUGUGGCGCCAGCAUCCCAUAUGGAUACCAGUUCAAGUCCUUGGGGCUCCACUUCUGAUCCAGCUCCUUGCCUAUGUGCCUGGGAAAGCAGCGGAAGAUGGCCUGAGUGCUUGGAAACCUGCGCCCAUGUGAUGUGGGAGAUAUGGAAGAAACUCCUGUCCCUGGCUCUGGCCUGGCCCAGCCCUGGCAGUUGCAGCCAUUUGGAGAGUGAACCAGCAGAUGGAAGAUCUCUCUGUCUCUCCUUACUAUCUCUGUAACUCUGACUUUCGAAUAAAUAAAUAAAAUCUUGAAAAAGAAAGAUUAAAAAAACAAAGAAAUUCAAAUAUAAACUAAAAGGCUAUACCAGUUUAUAUUUCAUAUAUUAGCAGAAACUACAGUAUCUGAAAAUGGUAAGGGUAUAGAACAGGAUUACAUUUACAAUUUGCUUGCUGAGAAAAAAAAAAUUGGUACAGUCCUAUUGAAAAUAUAUGAGGAUGUUAUCUUCGAAUUUGUGCAUAAACCAACAGUAAUCCAGAAAUUUUGUAGCAACAUAUAUAUCAUGUGGAAACUAUUCUUCAUACUCAUGAAAAUGUUAUAAAUUGAUAGUGGUAAAAUGGUGGAAACCACCCAGUUUAUUAAUAGGAAAAUAGAUAUAACUAAUUUGACAAAUUUAUGUAAUAGAAUAGUAAACAGCAAUAAAAUUAAAUGAACUAUAGAUACACAAAUAACAGAGCAUCAGAAAUAUGAUAUUGAAUGUGAUUCACUAAUAAAAAAGCAGUCAGUAAGGAAUUUAUACACAUAUUUAUCAAGGCCCACAAAUAAGGAAAACUGAACAAACCUAGUUAGGGCUACAAACUCAGGGGGAGAAACAAUAAAGAAAAGCAAAGGGAUGAGAAAAUGCAAUACAAAAUACUGGUUACAUUUGGUGAGUAGGGAGGAAGGUAAUACUGGGGAGAGCACUGGAAAGGUAUCAGUCACAGUGGUGAUGUCUGUUUCUUAAGUUCAACAGAGACUUCAGUAUGUUGUUGUCAUAUUUAUUAUUUAUUUAUAUAUAUAUUUACUUAUUUUUUACAGGCAGGGUGGACAGUGAGAGAGAGAGAGACAGAGAGAAAGGCCUCCUUUGCUGCUGGUUCACCCUCCAAUGGCUGCAGCGGCCUGCGCACUGCGGCCAGUGCACCGCGCUGAUCCGAAGCCAGGAGCCAGGUGCUUCUCCUGGUCUCCCAUGCGGGUGCAGGGUCCAAGCACUUGGGCCAUCCUCCACUGCACUCCCGGGUCACAGCAGAGAGCUGGCCUGGAAGAGGAAAACCGGGACAGAAUCCGGCGCCCUGACCGGGACCAGAACCCGAUGUGCCGGCGCCACUAAGCAGAGGAUUAGCCUAUUGAGCUGCGGCGCCGCCAUAUUUAUCAUUUAUUGUAAAUAAUAUAUAAAACGUUGACCAUGAUGGAAUAUUUGGAAUUUGACACGAACUCUCUUAAGUAUGGGAUGAUAACAAAAUGAUGUUUCUAAAUGUUGAUUUAAAAUGAUGACAAAACAAUUAAUUGGGUAGCACAUUUCAUAUCUUUAGCCUUAAGUUGUUGGAGGUGUUGAGAACAUUUAUAUAGAUUUAACAAGCAUCAUUAUAGUGUUGAUAGGACCCCAUGAUGCACCUGAGCCUGCAGCUUCUAAGUAAGAAUGGGGUGCCUCUUCCUCCUACUUUCACUUUGCAUCUCUGGUUCCUUCUAUUUCCAACUCCUUUCAUAGGCCUGACAUGGCUAAUCUAAGUAUCCUUUCCUUGUAAUGAUUUGCUUAGUAUCUAUUUUAGUUGUGCAUUGUAUCAUUCUCAGAGUAUUUAACAUUUCUGUUUGCUUGUUUUUUAUUUGUAGGUUAUCUCUACCUUCCUAUACACAAUAAGCUCUAACAAAGGGGGAAAUGUCUGUUUCUCUUAUAAUUCUAUAAUUGAUUUAAAGCCUAGGUGUAAGAAUUUGUGGAUAAAGUGUUAAAUAAAUGAGUGCAGACUGUGAUGAACUGACUGCUAUGGUUUGGGUAAUAUCUGAGUGUUUCCAGAGGUUUAUGUGCUGAAAUGUUGGUCUUCAGGAUGGUGAUGUUUAAAGGUGGUAGAAACUUUAAGAGGAAGGGUCUAGUAGAUGAUGUAGUCCUUAAGGGCACUGCCCUUGGAAGGGAUUUCUGUACUUCUCACACACCCUGAUUAGUUCUUUCAAGAGUGAGUUGUUGUAAAGGGAGGCUGUUCCCUUCCCAUGUCUCCACCAUGUAGUGCUGUUCCAAGGAGAACCUGACUAGAAGCCCAAUUUACUGGGCUGCUUCCAAAACUGUGACAUAAAUAAACUUUUUUCUUUGUAAAUUACCAAACCUCAGAUGUUUUUUAAAAGCAACAGAAAAGGAGGAAAGGCUCCAACCAACACUGGGUCCAAAGCGCUAACUUUUCAUCUCCAUGUAUCAGUAAGAGAAAUUCCAGACUAAGUCCCUGAAGGCUGGAUUUGUCUAAGUGAAAUUAAUGUGCCCUUGUAUCAUGGAUGAUCCACUACCCAAAGGUUUCAAGGGAUACGAGGCCAACUGCAUUUGGUUUCUUAUUUGCAGAUUCUAUUCAUUUGUGGAUUGAUGUUACUUACACGUUUUAUGGAUUUCCCUAAUUUCUCUAAUCUGAACAGAGAUGAACUGUGAAGCUGUUUGUGCCUCCAUAUUUACUAAUAAUUGCUGCAUGGCUUUUACUUAAAUGUACAUGAGGCAAUGCAAAAAUGCAACAGGUAACUUAUUUUUUAGCUUGUUGCAAUAGACAAAGCCUGAUGUGAUCCUAGAAAUGGAAUGGUUUUCAUUCUAUUCAGUGAAAAUUGUACACACACACACACACACACACACACAAAAGGUUUGUUUUUUUUUUUAAUCAGCUCCAUUAGUAGACAAAACUGUAAAUGUGACAACUGUUCAAUAACAUUAAAAAAUUCAAAGCCAGGUCUAUAAACUUCAGAGCUUGAACAGCCACCUGAUACCCUAUAUAAUAAAAGCUCAAUAAAUUGAAGUCAAAUUAGAGGGAAUUUUCCUACCUGAGAAUCGAAAUGGCAAAUUAUAAGCUUAAAACGUUAAAGGAGAAUUUGAGAAAAUUGCAGAAUGAUUAUAAGGAUCAUGGCAUCUGUGCUGUGCUGUGUAUGUGUAUAUAGUGUACCUUCAUACUUGGCAGUUUUCAAUAUCCAAAGAAUUUUUACAACAAUUUCUUAAAUACAAUAAUGAAAAAUGUAAGUGGAACCCAAGAGAAAUUUUAUGUCCCAUAAGUGAAAAGGCAAAGAAAUCAAAUUACUUUGAAAUAAAAAGAUUCACAUCCUUUAGAUCAGUCCCCACAGUCCCCUAGUGGAUUAAUACUUUCCUUGCUUGCUUUCUUUUACACUGAAGCUAAU